rnacentral:rRNA from 1 species
ACGUAGGGUGCAAGCGUUAAUCGGAAUUACUGGGCGUAAAGGGUGCGCAGGCGGCUAUGCAAGACAGAUGUGAAAUCCCCGGGCUUAACCUGGGAACUGCAUUUGUGACUGCAUGGCUAGAGUUUGUCAGAGGAGGGUGGAAUUCCGCGUGUAGCAGUGAAAUGCGUAGAUAUGCGGAAGAACACCAAUGGCGAAGGCAGCCCUCUGGGACAUGACUGACGCUCAUGCACGAAAGCGUGGGGAGCAAACAG